AGAGAAUAUUUCAAACACUUGUAAUACAUAUUAUUCAGGAUGCCUGCGAGCUCCACUUUGUUUACUUAUUUCAUCUGCCAUUAGGCAAUACCUGUUUGUAAUCUGCAUCGCAGUAAGUUUUCAAUAAAACUUAUUUUCAAAAUAUAUUUGCAUCAUUACAUUUAAUUCAUAAUUUUCUUUACAUGCUUUACUUUCGCACUCUGAAUUAUAUGGAAGGCUAUGCCUCCUGCUGUUCUUUUUAAUUCAAUAUAUUGAUAUGUAUCUAGCUCUGGUUCAGCUUUAUUCUGUUCAUGUUAGCUAACCAGGUACCUUUUUUUUUUCCUGCUCUAAUUAAACUGUACACCUAGCAUCUUCACUUUAACGAAUGUAUUCAAAUUAAAAUACUAAAGAUACUUAACUUAAAAGGAUUAAUCAAAAUUUGGCCUGUCCUUCAUUUGUGAUUUAUUUCGUGGGUCUCUGGAAAAAAUUUCAAGUGAAGAACAAAAGUAAUCGCCUUUGACCUAACAAGCCUAGCUGUUGUGUGAAGUCGAGAUUCAGAAUGCAACCACAUCACAAUCUACAAAAUAAUGAAUAAAUAUUUACAGUUCUAUUUAUUGAAGUCACAAGAAAGAAAUGUGCGGCAAGCUUUGUCGGGUUCCAUUACAUUAUUAACAUUUAAAAUCCCUGAGAAAGACUAAAACUUUCUCGAUCUCCAUUUCCGCACCAGAACCCCACUACUCAAGUUGUUGUGCCUUCUUCUCCGCCACGCACGGUGGCCGCCGCUGGAACAUCAUGAAUCCAAACGACAUCAUCAGUGAGACAAAGAAGAAAUUCAAGAACAAAAUCGCGGAGGUGAAAAAGGAGAUUAGCAACCGAGAUGUAGAUCUCACCCAUCUUCAAACAUCCGCUGUCAACCUGGCCUGUUUUUACAUCGUGAUGCAAAUGUUAACUUUGUCUGCUUUCACCAACAAAUUUAUAGUUUGUGGUAACUUGAAGCUCACGCUAACUAUUGGUUUUAUGUUAUCGGUGCAAGUUCUGGUAAAGAUUUACAAGAAGGGGCUCACCUAUAUUAACACCAAACUAAAAGAUGAACAGAACUUACACGAUUUGGAGAAGCUGAAAAGACAGCUCCGUCGGAUUAAGACAGCCAUGAGUGGGAUGAAUUUGGAGGCUGAUGAAGAUGACGAUGAAAAGUUCUACACUCGUCAAAAGUGGAAGCACGCUGGUUGUCAUUUUGCGCUGGUUCUCUGUUGUUUCGGCUUGAAAGCUUUCUUCGUCCAUGUCUGGACCUUUAUCUCUGGAAUUCUACUUUCCAUGAAUGAAUAAUGAUGACAUACAUAUUUAUGGUAUAACUCCAAAAAGCUCAGCAUAGCUACACACAUGGCAGCAUGAACAAGAAUACUUAUUCUGGAAUGAACAAGACUUGAGGGAGGAUAUGAUGACUCAGAGGAACUUGAUGAUGAAUACUAGCCUAAUGAUGGAUGUGAUUAAAGCACGUGGAAGUGUGGUGGAUGGUGACAAGAUGGUGGCAAAAUGACACGAGGAAUCGUAUAAUAGUAGUUGAAGUGUUGUAAAGUAACAUCUAGAAUAAUUUGAGUGUGAAGUAAAAUUUUGUUGAUUGUGAUAUAAAGGAGAUUCCUCCUUAUAUUGUGUAAAGAAUGGACAAAAGAGGAAGAUAUUUCAUGUCCCCAGGUAGUUUUAGGUGAGGUUCGGAAGAGUUACUCCUAGGCCUAUAAAUAUGUGCGAAUUUUAUGUAAAAAGGCAUAC